GAGGGUGAGUCAGGUCCUAAGGCGAGGCAGAAGUGCGUAGUCGAUGGAUAACGGGUCAAUAUUCCCGUACCUGACAUUGUUGGUGCAGAGGGACGGAGAAGGCAAUCGCCAGCCGGAUGUUGGUUACCGGUUUAAGUAUUCGAGGUGUUGAGAGACGGAGAAAACGUCUUGAGCUGAGGUACGA
rnacentral:rRNA from 1 species